AUAAGCAAUUUAUACGGUGAAACUGGCGAAUGGCUCAUUAAAUCAGGUUAUCGUUUAUUUGAUAGUACCUUACUACAUGGAUACCUGUGGUAAUUCUAGAGCUAAUACAUGCUAAAAACCUCGACUUCGGAAGGGGUGUAUUUAUUAGAUAAAAAACCAAUGCCCUUCGGGGCUCCUUGGUGAAUCAUAAUAACUUAACGAAUCGCAUGGCCUUGCGCCGGCGAUGGUUCAUUCAAAUUUCUGCCCUAUCAACUUUCGAUGGUAGGAUAGUGGCCUACCAUGGUGGCAACGGGUAACGGGGAAUUAGGGUUCGAUUCCGGAGAGGGAGCCUGAGAAACGGCUACCACAUCCAAGGAAGGCAGCAGGCGCGCAAAUUACCCAAUCCCGACACGGGGAGGUAGUGACAAUAAAUACUGAUACGGGGCUCUUUUGGGUCUCGUAAUUGGAAUGAGUACAAUUUAAAUCCCUUAACGAGGAACAAUUGGAGGGCAAGUCUGGUGCCAGCAGCCGCGGUAAUUCCAGCUCCAAUAGCGUAUAUUAAAGUUGUUGCAGUUAAAAAGCUCGUAGUUGAACCUUGGGUCUGGCUGGCCGGUCCGCCUCACCGCGAGUACUGGUCCGGCUGGACCUUUCCUUCUGGGGAACCCCAUGGCCUUCACUGGCUGUGGGGGGAACCAGGACUUUUACUGUGAAAAAAAUUAGAGUGUUCAAAGCAGGCCUUUGCUCGAAUACAUUAGCAUGGAAUAAUAGAAU
rnacentral:rRNA from 2 species